UUCCAUGGUUCCGCAACAUCUUCCGCCGUGGUCGCUUGGUUUCGCGCGCUAUCUCAAAGAGUGUUCAAUGGAGUGUUUUCAGAGUUGGGCGAGCGUAGCCGGUCUGCGUUUCAAUCGAAGAAGAAGCACAUGGUUGUCCAAGGAGAUCACUCAGAUAAACAAAGAACAACAUGCAUACUACAGUCCCUCCUGAGCUGGAAUGCCGCAGGGAACUUCAGCUGGUUUGGUGCAAAGGGAAAAAAAUUUGCCAAGCUGCAUCUGUGCAAGCUAAUGUAUGAAUACCCAAAACCGUUCAUCCCACCAACCCCUGUGUAAGCAGCUGCAUCUUUUCCUCAGGUGGCACGUAGAAGGAAGUUCCGUUCCUGUGAUCACAUUGACCAACUUUCAGCAUGGGAGUCCCAGUUGUCAAUAGAAAAUGGCAACCAAGUACUCCAGGGUGAAAAUCAAGUGUUUCCAGUUGAAAUGGUGGGCCUGCUGGUCAAACAUAGCUCCAGGACCUACAACAGUCCUUUGUGGUAGGCCAGCCUCAGUUCAGUUGUAAUUUUAAUCAGUAACUUUUGAAAGCACCACAAAUCAGUUGUGUGUGUGUAUUGUGAGAAAUUGUUCUAUAGGCUAAUGUGAAGAGUGCUAUAGUUUUGGCAGCCAUUAUUUAGGCAAGAUAAGUCUUCCAAAACAUCGGUUAUGGGAAAGAUUUAUUCAUAAAAGAGCAUUAUGAAUGCACCUUUGCUACCUUUUAAACGUACAAUUCUGUCCAGGACUUGGCCUGUUCUUUCUCUGCAAUGUUAGCUCUAUCUGAAAAUCAAGUGUGCUACAUACAUGAUGCUCUUAAAAAAAGCUAAUCAGUCCCUGUACCCUUUUAAGAACAUUUUAAUUACCAUUUUAGCUGAAACAAUUUCAUUUUUGUUGCAUUGAUAAUUAAGAUGUGUGUGAGUUUUCUGUAAACAUGUUGUAUUUACUAGGAACCCAUUGUAUUAGUCGUAGUCAUGGCAACAUAUUCAUCAGAUUUGUAUUUAUUAAAUAAACUGCAUUUUUACUGCUCCCUUAAGUAUCUGUGAGGCAUCAUGGAAGGAUUUGUGUCUGUUUAGAGCCCAUAAAAAUCCUUUCUGCAUGCUGUUUUGCCUUGCUUAAUAUGCGCUUACCUCACACUGUUGCACUCGGUUCUGUGGCCAUUAGAACUUCAUGCAACCAUUUAUAGUGCAGUUUACCUUGAGGAAAAGUGCUAUUGAUUGACUGAAUUAAGUUGUGUGGAUUUUGCCUAUGAAUGCAUGCAUUUUUGUACCAGUACAAGUCUGCUGGCAUAUAAGAUGCAUAUGCAGUGCUAUCUACUUAUGGCCUGUAGAACAAGGAAAAUUGAAUUGUACAUUUGUUGCAGCAUUUGAGAUAGAUAUGCUUAUUAAGUGCACUGCUACAGCCAGUAUUUUAUUUAUUUAUUUAUUUCCAAUACUGUUAGCCCUUGCGGGCUGUUACAGGGGUGGGGGAAAAAGAAUUUACCACAAACAUGUAACACCAGUUCCGCAAUAAACAAACAAUGCAUUCAGCAAACACA